rnacentral:miRNA from 1 species
CCGUGGCGUUAGACUGAUGCUG